AAUCAACGCUGGCGGCGUGCCUCAGACAUGCAAGUCGAACGAUUAAAGCUCUCUUCGGAGAGUGCAUAAAGUGGCGCACGGGUGAGUAACACGUAAGUAAUCUACCUUCGAGUGGGGAAUAACGUCCGGAAACGGACGCUAAUACCGCAUAACGCAGCGGCAUCGCAAGAUGACAGUUGUUAAAGAUUUAUCGCUUGAAGAGGAGCUUGCGGCAGAUUAGCUUGUUGGUAAGGUAACGGCUUACCAAGGCUACGAUCUGUAUCCGGUCUAAGAGGACGGUCGGACACACUGACACUGAAUAACGGGUCAGACUCCUACGGGAGGCAGCAGUCGGGAAUUUUGGGCAAUGGGGGAAACCCUGACCCAGCAACGCCGCCGUGAAGGAUGAA
rnacentral:rRNA from 1 species